UAGCAACCGCCGCAUCAGUUUGAGCAGUGAGUCACAUUAUUGACACCAGAUGAGUUUGAAAACAUCUGCAUUACUUUUGUGUGCUGUUUGAGCUCUCAUUCUGACGGCACCCAUUAACUACAGAGGAUCCGUUGGUGAGCAAGUGACGCCAUGCUUUUCCGAUGGAGAAACAACCUCCUCUGCAUUGGAUGGAAUGGCGAAUUCGGCAUUAUGAUUGGUCAGAACGCCUGUCAGUCAAGCUGUUUCCGAAGGGUCAGUUACCUUCAACUUUUAAAAAAAGUAAAGAAAAGAAACCUUAAUUAAAUUUACAUUUAAGGACACACUUAAGGUUAACACAAGUCUUAGAACUCCCACAUGUUUGCAGAAAAACAAGAACAAUAUUAUGAGUUUGGAAAAUUACUUUUUUUGGCUUGUUCUGAGAGCGAGGCUUGUUUCUGUCGUCCUCUGUUGACUUUGCCAGUUUAGCAAACAGGAGACGAUUAAAAUAAAUGAGCCUAGAUUGAUCCUGAUACACAGCGAGGGGAAGACUGAUGGGGAAAGGCACGCGCAAGGGAUGAUUACGACUGUCCUUGCCCGAUGACAAAUAGCACUGUAUUGUGCUGGAAAGCCACAGUUUUUUAUCCCUUGGCAUCGAAACACUUUUCGGAUAUCAUCAUAAGCAUCAUCGUCAUCAUCUCUGUCACCAUUCUAUUGCCAGCAUUUUCAAUUGUAUAUGACAUGUAAUAUUGCCAACGAAUGAAAUAAAUGCUUCAUAUUAGCCAGUAUGAUUGUACAGCAGCACAUAUCCGUCAGUAAGAGCUUUUUUAUGCAUUAUUGUAGGGUGAAAUAUAUUAAUAAUGCAUUAUUCUGAAUCUGUAUUAAAUAUGGUGCAGUUUAUGAAUUGCUGUAUAUUGCAGACUUAAUACUUAAUUAUGUUAUAUUGUUAUAUUAAUCAAAACUGACAGUAAAGACAUUUGCAAAAAAAUAAUU